rnacentral:rRNA from 1 species
CCUAUGGGAGGCAGCAGUGAGGAAUAUUGGUCAAUGGGCGCGAGCCUGAACCAGCCAAGUAGCGUGAAGGAUGACUGCCCUACGGGUUGUAAACUUCUUUUAUAAAGGAAUAAAGUGAGGCACGUGUGCCUUUUUGUAUGUACUUUAUGAAUAAGAAUCGGCUAACUCCGGGCCAGCAGCCGCGGUAAUACGGAGGAUCCGAGCGUUAUCCGGAUUUAUUGGGUUUAAAGGGAGCGUAGAUGGGUUGUUAAGUCAGUUGUGAAAGUUUGCGAGUCAACCGUCAAAUUGCAAUUGAUACUGGCAGUCUAGAGUACAGUUGAUGUAGGCGGAAUUCGUGGUGUAGCGGUGAAAUGCUUAGAUAUCACGAAGAACUCCGAUUGCGAAGGCAGCUUACUAAACUGCCACUGACAUUGAUGCUCGAAAGUGUGGGUAUCAAACAGGAUUAGAUACCCGAGUAGUC